ACCGGUGAGGGCUUUGAUGCAUGACGCUUGUCGCCACGUUGCGGCACGUGCGCGGUUCCCCGGAAGAGUUCUUAUCCACAUAAACAUACACCUGUGCACCUAGCGCGAGCGCCGCCCCAUUCGGAGCCGUCCUGGCGUAACCUCCGUUUGUAUCGGGGGGGGCUGGACCGUGUACAAGUCUCCUG
rnacentral:rRNA from 1 species